CAACUAUUUCCUGCCAGUUAUUUGCUCCUCAUGCCAGUUGGAUGAGAGCUUGUCCCUGUUGUCCAUCAUUGCAAGGUAUGAACUUUCCCCUCAUACUGAAAAUUUCUUCAAAAAGCUGAGCUGUUUUCUGAGACAAGAUACUCAUCUGCUUUGGUAUGUAAGUUCAAUGUCACAGAUUUUUUAAGGCCAGAGGAAUAGCCUCAGUUCAACAGGGCAAAGCAAGCUUUUUCCUCUUUACAAAUUACUUUGCCUGAAGACAGAGAGGUUUAUUUUAGCAACAGAAAGCCUCAGUCCCAACUGUGCCUUGCUGCAGUUCUGUUCUUCUAACACUAGUUGGGGCUCCUUGCAAACAGAAAAAGCACGUCCUCAUCAGUUGCCUUUAGAUGGCACUUUCUUCAUGGAAAGCUAUCUCAGUGACAUUACUAUACUCAGUAGAUCUUUUUUGCUUUUAUAGCAGUGAAUUAUAGACACCGCAUCUCAAAUUGCUGUAGAAGUAUCUAGCACUUCUGGAAUGCCUUUCAUUUGGGGAGCUCAAAGGCUCUGUACACCUCCACCAAAGAACAAACAUAGAGGCUAGCUAAUUAUUACCAUCCCGAUUUUACAGGUUCUACAGAUAUCUCUUUUGGACAGAAAAUGCAAACAAAGGACUGUGUUCAGGAUAACUGACUUACUGCUACUGCCUUUGCAGGCAGUGGAAAGACCUCCAUCAAUGUAAAAGGAGUCAGGAUCCUACCGAUUCUGAAAGGUUUAAGCUAUGCCAUAGGCAAAAGGAAACCUGGAAACUGUGGGACUGGCAAGGCUCAAUGAAUAACCUAAUCUGGAUUUCAUUCACAAACAGCAGCUCACACACAGGGAAAGGGCUGGUGUGUUUCGCCAAAUCGGAACUGGAGAACCUUGCCACGCAGAAGCCACGACAAAUUUCCAAAGCGACCAAAUUUCAGAGACAGAAAAUUUGGGGUAGAGCAAUCCUGGCACCAGUGAUCAUCCCUGAAAGCACAUGGAAAGGGUUUCCUACCUCGUCUGUGCAGUCUCAACAGACUACAUGUAGCCACUGUCAAAAAUCACUGUGAGAAGCAAGGGCACAACGUAGCUAAAACUGGACAUCCAAACACUCAAGGCAUAAGGAAAUUGGAUAUUGAUGUUCAAGGAGCCGAAUUUAAACAUUGGAAAUGUGCGGAAUUUAAAUAGUAUCCCAUGCUUCUGAUGAAUCCCCUUCUAAACGCUGAAACUCCAGCCAGACUAGGUUUUUUGUGUAGGUGAAACACGUCUCACUGCUACACAGAAAGCACAAACUACAGCCAGACGGUAAAAAUAUUUUUUCCGGUGUCUGAAAGCUAGAAUCACAGCCACAGGAGGGAUCCAUAUGCUGAAGAUUACUGUGCUGAAGUUAACUGUUGAAAUUAAAACAAGUUCUUGGGGCCACUGGAAAGUCGAGUAUUCUUUCCCCAUGGGAGUAACCUCUUCUUGCUGGCUGGGUUAUUCCUUGCUGCCACUGAAAGAAAUGGGCAGCAAGGCGCAAUCUCAGAGAGGCCCCUCAAAGUAAGAGACAGGAGGGAAACAGAGGCAGAUGGAUUAUUGGAGAGAAGGUAACCGAGACUGUACUUUUCUUANNNNNNNNNNNNNNNNNNNNNUUUGUUUGUUAAGGUAAGUUGCUGUGUGGGGCUAUAUAUACAAAAAUAUC
ensembl:lncRNA